UACGUAGGGUGCAAGCGUUGUCCGGAAUUAUUGGGCGUAAAGGGCACGUAGGCGGCUUUAUAAGUCGGGGGUGAAAGCCUGUGGCUCAACCACAGAAUUGCCUUCGAUACUGUAUGGCUUGAGGACUGGAGAGGAGACUGGAAUUCAUGGUGUAGCAGUGAAAUGCGUAGAGAUCAUGAGGAAGACCAGUGGCGAAGGCGGGUCUCUGGACAGUUCCUGACACUGAGGCACGAAGGCCAGGGGAGCAAACGGG
rnacentral:rRNA from 1 species